AACGAACGCUGGCGGCAUGCCUAACACAUGCAAGUCGAACGAGACCUCCGGGUCUAGUGGCGCACGGGUGUGUAACGCGUGGGAACCUGCACUUAGGUUCGGAAUAACUCCCCGACAGGGGUGCUAAUACCGGAUAAUGUCUUCGGACCAAGGAUUUAUUGCCCUAGGAUGGGCCAGCGUUGGAUUAGCUAGUUGGUAGGGUAAAAGCCUACCAAGGCGACGAUCCAUAGCUGGGCUGAGAGGAUGAUCAGCCACACUGGGACUGAGACACGGCCCAGACUCCCACGGGAGGCAGCAGUGGGGAAUAUUGGACAAUGGGCGAAAGCCUGAUCCAGCAAUGCCGCGUGAGUGAUGAAGGCCGUAGGGUUGUAAAGCUCUUUUACCCGGGAUGAUAAUGACAGUACCGGGAGAAUAAGCUCCGGCUAACUCCGUG
rnacentral:rRNA from 1 species